rnacentral:rRNA from 1 species
UGGAGAGCAUUAUAAGGGUAGACGGUGGAUGGCUCGACUGUAAUUGCUGAUGAAGGACGUAGUAGCCUGCGAAAAACCUCGGGAAGGUGGCAAACAACCGUUGAUCCGAGGGUGUCCGAAUGGGGAAACCCAUCUAGGGGAAUGCCUAGAUAUUGUGCAUUGAAUAUAUAGAUGCACAAAAGUAACCGUGGGAAGUGAAACAUCUCAGUACCACGAGGAAAAGAAAAGAAAGGGUUCGAUCAUCAUCUUGCAACUCGAUGCUUCGAGAGGCAAGAUGAUCGACCGAGCUCACAUUCCCAGAGUAGUGGCGAGCGAAAUGGGAACAGUCCAAACCUAUGACAUGAAGCCCAUCAAGGUCUUUCUUCGGAAAGAUUGAGGUGAAGCGAAAGACGCCAGUCGUUGUGUUGUAGGGGUUGUAAGCAGUGUUCGUUCCGUUUCUGGCGAAACGGGUCGUUGAAGCGUUGUCGUUAGUGAAAUAAGCUGGAAAGCUUAACCAAAGAAGGUGAUAGUCCUGUACGCGAAAACUUCUAACGCAAGCGAAGAACAUUGUCUUGAGUACGGCGGGACACGAGAAAUCCUGUCGGAAUCAACCACGACUAUGUGGUAAGACUAAAUACAAUUACAGAUCGAUAGUGAACCAGUACCGCGAGGGAAAGCUGAAAAGAACCCCGGAAGGGGAGUGAAAUAGCAUCUGAAACCGUCUACUUACAAGGAGUCGGAGCCCGCAAGGGUGACGGCGUUCCUAUUGAAGAAUGAUCCAACGACUUAUCGUCAGCCGCUUGGUUAAGUCCUUUGGGACGGAGCCGCAGUGAAAGCAAGCCUUAAUCGGCGCUUGUGGCUGGUGAUAGACUCGAAACCCGGUGACCUAACCAUGCCCAGGGUGAAGCAAAUGUAAAAGUUUGUGGAGGCCCGAACCCACGUGCUGUGCAAAACACGGGGAUGAGGUGUGGUUAGCGGAGAAAUUCCAAUCGAACUGGGUAAUAGCUAGUUCUCCCUGAGAUAGCUUUUGGGCUAGCGUCGGUUAAUAGCAUACUGGAGGUAGAGCACUGAUUGGAUUCGCCGCCGCAAGGUAGGUUGUCCAGCCAAACUCCGAAUGCCAGUAUGUGUUCCCGGCAGUCAGACCAUGGGGGCGAAGCUCCAUAGGUCAAGAGGGCAACAGCCCAGAUCUCAAGCUAAGGUCCCUAAAUCGUUAUUAAGUGUAGAAGGUGGUGAAGAGACUUAUACAACCAGGAGGUUGGCUUAGAAGCAGCCAUCCUUUAAAGAUAGCGUAACAGCUCACUGGUCAAGUUUCUUUGCGCCGAAAACAUACCGGGGCUAAAUAACGUACCGAAGCUGAGGGUUUACAUUUUAUGUAAGCGGUAAGGGAGCAUUUCCAUUGCGCAGAAGCUGCAGGGUGACCUGUGGUGGAGCGAUGGGAAGAGAGAAUGUUGGAAUGAGUAGCAGAAAGACAGGUGAGAAUCCUGUCCGCCGAAAAUCUGAGGUUUCCACAGCAACGAGAAUCGACUGUGGGUUAGUCGGGAGCUAAGGUGAGGCCGAAAGGCGUAAUCGAUGCACAGCAGGUUAAUAUUCCUGCACUACGUUGCGUUUCCGAUGGGGGGACGCUUGUGUGAUAUCCCCGCGUUCUAUGGCUAUAGCGCUGGGGGUCGGGAGUCGCUGGUAGGCAAAUCCGCCAGCAUUAAAACUUCUGAUCAUCUCGACCUUUGGGAAACCAAGGGGAGGGGGGUAGAGCACGGGACUAGAAAAGCCCCUAGGGUUAAACGUAAGGUACCCGUACCGUAAACCGACACAGGUGGAUGAGUGUGAGAACACUAAGGCGUACGAGAGAAACAUGGUUCAGGAACUAGGCAAAACAACGGCCGUAACUUCGGGAUAAGGCCUGGUUUCCCCCGGGAGGGGGAGACCCGCAGCGUAAGACGUCAAGCGACUGUUUAUCAAAAACACAGGUCCCUGCUAAAUCGCAAGAUGAUGUAUAGGGGCUGAUGCCUGGCCAGUGUCCGAACGUUAAGGGAGGGGGUCAUCCAGUUUACUGGGGCAGCCUCUGACCGAAGCGCGGAUGAACGCCGGCCGUAACUAUAACGGUCCUAAGGUAGCGAAAUUCCUUGUCGGGUGAGUUCCGACCUGCACGAAUGGCAUAACGACUUGACGACUGUCUUAACCAUGUACUCGGCGAAAUUGCGAGGGGAGUGAAGAUGCUCUCUAUGUAUAGUUAGACGAAAAGACCCCGUGAAGCUUUACUACAACUUGCCAUUGAAUACAUGUUCCGCAUGUUCAGCAUAGGUGGGAGCCGCAAGGCACCAGUGAGAUACCACCCUUGUGUUAUGUGUAUUCUAACCGAUGACCGUGAAACCGGUUGUUGAGACAGUGGCUGGUGGGUAGUUUAACUGGGGCGGUUGCCUCCCAAAAAGUAACGGAGGCGUUCACAAAGGUUGGCUUAGCCCGGAUGGAAAUCGGGCCGGACGUGCAAGCGCACAAGCCAGCUUAACUGCAAGGCCGACACGCCGCGCAGAUACGAAAGUAGGAGCUAGUGAUCCGACCGUGCGACAUAGGACGGCGGAAGCUCAUCGGAUAAAAGCUACUCCGGGGAUAACAGGCUAGUCUCCCCCAAGCGUCCACAGCGACGGGGAGGUUCGGCACCUCGAUGUCGGCUCAUCGCAUCCUGGGACUGAAGAAGGCCCCAAGGGUUUGGCUGUUCGCCAAUUAAAGCGGUACGCGAGCUGGGUUCAGAACGUCGUGAGACAGUUCGGUCUCCUAUCUACUAUACACGUCGAAAACUGAUGAGACCCAUCCUUAGUACGAGAGGACCAGGAUGGACAGACCUCUUGUGUACCAGUUGUCCUGCCAAGGGCAUCGCUGGGUAGCGAAGUCUGGUUCGGAUAAGCGCUGAAAGCAUCUAAGCGCGAAGUCGACUCAAAGAUUAGUUUUCAUUACGAGACCCCUAAGAGACUAUUAGGUUGAUAGGCCGUAGGUGUAAGUGCAGUAAUGCAUUUAGCCGAGCGGUACUAAUCGGUCCAGCUCUCCAUU